CGCGCGUCCCCGUUGUUCGAGAGUCGUCCGUCGGCCAACGUCAUUGCCGUCGAGUGCCGAGACUGCCGAGUGAGAUGCAGGAUCGCAGCUCGCUUGUUGUUUUGCGUUAAUUUCCCGUUGUCGUGACAUAAUAAAUUGCGCAGAUCGGAAGCAUCUGACAAGUGCAAAGUGCCGCGCGAUCUUUAUAUGUUUAUAUCAAAAUGAUUAGCGCCGUGUGUACAGGCAAUUUGUUAGAUCGCGAAUUUCGUUCGAUCGAAGCUCGUCGUGUGAGCGACGGACGGCGUCAGUGAUCCAUUGCCCGUCGGUCGAUUCAAUCGCAUUUUUCAAUUCGCGGGCCACGGUUGUUUGUUUUCGGUCUCUUCGUAUUUUUAUAAGCGUACGUGAGAAAUGCGGACAUAAUAACCGUCCGGAGACACGCGUGUGUUGCGUAUUAGCGACAAAGCGUUUGAAAGGUUAUGUUACGCCGCGCGGCACGGCGUGAAGGUGAUCGCGCGAUCCUCUAGUGCUCGAGAUUCGUCGUCUGCCGCGUUGACUUCUCCGACGGUGUCGUGGGUAAUGAUGAAUGCGGACAACGCUUUCGUCGUUUCGCGUUAACUUCCGGUUGUCGCAACGUAGUUAUCUGCGCUUCGUGCACUGGAGUGCCGUCCGGGAUGUCACGCGAUUGUCAAGGUGAUUAUUGCUAAGUAGUAGUGUUUUCGUGAGUGCCGUAAAAAAGUAACAAGCAGAAAUAACAGAGGAGGAGGAGGAGGACCUGAGAGGCAUCAGACAACGGCGGAGCAACCACGAGGUCGACGUUGAAAACUCCGCUGCUGCGCAUCGUGUGUUGGUGAGUGACAAAUUUUAUUUUAAUCUAGCAAUGAAUUUCUAUUGAAUAUAUUGAUAGAGAUUCGUUUAUUAAAUAGAUGCGCUACGCGCUAGAUUAAUAUCAAUACUUAAUCCUGGAAAGUAUUUCCAUCCAACAAUUUAUUGCACGUAAAUAUACACUUCAGUAAAAUGAAACUUGUUAUAUUAAUCUGUUUGCGCGUAUUUUGGUGAACGUUACAAAAAAAAUUUAUGGAGUUCACAAAUCGUAUUUCACUCGUCUGAAAUUUGUAGAAGAAAUAUGCAAGCGCGUGUAAAAAAAUAUUCUUAUACACUUUUUGCUAAGCGCUUAUACUCGCAAGAUUUUCAAAAAAAUUGAGAAUAUCAUGAGAUAUUUUUCAUCAUAAAAUUUAUUAUAUAAAAUAAUCUACACUUUUCAAGUACUUACGUUAUAACUGUUGAGUUUAAAUUAAAUUGAAUUUUUGAGUUUAUUACUUAUUUACAAAAUAGUGAAAUAAAAUGUACUAAUAUACGUCUAUUAAUCUGGCACAGUCAGUUUUGCACAAUCAAAUGCGACUCGUACAAAAAUUAUUUAUUAUUUUUUUGCUAAUUUUUUGCUCUAUUUGCGAUUUUUUAGCGAAACGUCUGCAGCAAAAGAGUUUUUAAUAGAGCAAAGAAAUAACACUACAAACACACUCACUUGUUUUUUAAUGUUUUUUUUUUCUUAAUGGCUGUGCUAACUUUAAUCUUAAGCUAUCACAGCCGUCGUUUUUAGCGAAACGGCUGGAGCAAAAAGAAAUCGUAAAUAGAGUAAAAAAAUUAGCAAAUAAUUCCUGUAUGAGCAGCAUUUGAUUGUACUAAAAUGGUUGUGCUUAAUGUGCCAGCUUAAUAAACGUGGAUUUAGCUUCGUGGGAUAGAAUUUAUUUAUCUGAAAAUGAUAUAUCGCCGGUAUAAUUAUUCCAGUGCUUCCGAAUGGUUCUCUUAAAAAUUGCGCUCGCUCCUAUCGGCCGCUCCUCGAUGAGAUUAAUCAAACGUGAACGGCACUCGAUUAAUAACGUCGAUUAAUGGCGUCUUUGAGCUCGAGCGAAUCGCUAUUAAUCGCGUUGCGUGGGUGAAACAUGUUUAUAUUUACAUUUGCUGGAUUCGCGCGCAGGUUCGCCUUACUGACGGGUGAAAGCGUCCGAAUUUCUUCGUCGAACACGGUCGCGCAUAUCCCGCGAGAUCGCGGAGAUUAGAGGGGCACGCGAAAUUCCAAUCUCGCAAUCGGAGAGAGGGAGAGGAAGAAGAGAGAGAGGGACAGAGAGAGAGAGAGAAAAGAAAA